AAAAAAAAGAGAAUGAAUAAGAGAUUUUUAAGACACAUUCCCAAAAGAAAAAAAGGUGUAAGAUCAUGAAAUAUAGUUGGGGUAAAAAAAAAUAAUAGGGAAAGAGAAAAACACUUGAUACCAUUGCAAUAAGGCACAGAAUGGGCAUAAAUUAUAAGACAGAAAUAUCAAAUAAGUAAAACAUCCACUAAGGGUUGCAGUUAACAGUUGCCCAAAAUGCUCCAAAAGCUUCAAGUAACAUGUAGAUUGCCAGUCUAUUUCGUUGGGGGUAAGUAGACUAAAGAAUGAAGUUCAGAAAAGAAUCUUGUUUGGUUGCAUUAUCAAACCAACUUCCCAAAAAGAAGACCAUGCUACUUCCCUAGCAACUGGAAGUUGCACUUCCUAGAUAAUUUAUUACCCUUGUGGGCAUUAUUGUCUUUACAAUUUAAAAGCAAAUUAGUUCGUGUGAAGUUAAUUUUUAUAACAACCACAUUUGUAUCAUACUUGACGAAGCAAGGUUCCUGGCAAGUUCUCUACAAGUGUACUUCAUACUUCGCAGGGAGUAUAACAUUUAAACCACAGAAGAACUAAGUUAGAAAAAGACCAUCAUCUAUCAUGACAUCCACAUAAAUUACUACUCUACCAGCAAUCAACACUAUAUUUCGGAUUGUCUUCUAAUCCCAUGAGGUGUUUAUAUAUAGAAAUGGAAAAGCUAACUCAUAUUGAAAAUUAACAGGGAACCAAAUAAGGAUCUAAUGAGACAAAAUUAAUCGGCUAAAGCACUGGGAAAGGAAGCAACUUUUGAAUAAUUUGGCAGAGACUUGAGCUAAAGCCCAAGAAAAUGCCAACAGUGCCUAGCAAAAUCAUUAAUUGAAGAAAUUUAAAGAUCAUUAAGCUAAGACCAUAGAAACCUUCAAGCAUCGUACUCCAUUAUUUAGAAGGGGAAAUAAAAGGAAUAGAAAAGUAUCCACUAAGAAAGGCCUGGUACAACAUACCAACCGAGGAUAACGACUUUCAACCACAAGAGAGAGAGAGAGAGA
rnacentral:misc_RNA from 1 species